CUUUGAACGACAUUUACUGUUCAAGGCGGAAGGAG
rnacentral:ncRNA from 1 species